rnacentral:misc_RNA from 1 species
GAUGAAGAACGCAGUGAAAUGCGAUAAGUAAUGUGAAUUGCAGAAUUCAGUGAAUCAUCGAAUCUUUGAACGCACAUUGCGCCCCCUGGUAUUCCGGGGGGCAUGCCUGUCCGAGCGUCAUUGCUGCCCUCAAGCACGGCUUGUGUGUUGGGCCCCGUCCUCCGAUCCCGGGGGACGGGCCCGAAAGGCAGCGGCGGCACCGCGUCCGGUCCUCGAGCGUAUGGGGCUUUGUCACCCGCUCUGUAGGCCCGGCCGGCGCUUGCCGAUCAACCCAAAUUUUUAUCCAGGUUGACCUCGGAUCAGGUAGGGAUACCCGCUGAACUUAAGCAUAUCAAUAAGCGGAGGA